UUGGAGGGCAAGUCUGGUGCCAGCAGCCGCGGUAAUUCCAGCUCCAAUAGCGUAUAUUAAAGUUGUUGCAGUUAAAAAGCUCGUAGUUGAAUUUCGGGGUCAGUAGGCUGGUCGUGCCACAGGUAUGUACUGGUCUCACUGAUUCCUCCUUCCUGAUGAACCGUAAUGCCAUUAAUUUGGUGUUGCGGGGAAUCUGGACUGUUACUUUGGAAAAAUUAGAGUGUUUAAAGCAGGCUAACGCUUGAAUACAUUAGCAUGGAAUAAUGAAAUAGGACGAUCGAUCCUAUUUUGUUGGUUUCUAGGAUUGACGUAAUGAUUAAUAGGGAUAGUUGGGGGCAUUAGUAUUCAAUUGUCAGAGGUGAAAUUCUUGGAUUUAUUGAAGACUAACUACUGCGAAAGCAUUUGCCAAGGAUGUUUUCAUUAAUCAAGAACGAAAGUUAGGGGAUCGAAGACGAUCAGAUACCGUCGUAGUCUUAACCAUAAACUAUGCCGACUAGGGAUCGGAUGAUGUUAAUUUUUUAAUGACUCAUUCGGCGCCUUACGGGAAA
rnacentral:rRNA from 1 species